rnacentral:lncRNA from 1 species
UAUUACCCUCCCCAGACCCCACCUGGUGGGAGUAUACUGGGUAGUUGUUGUUAUUGUUGUUGCCUAGCUUUGUAAAAUAUAGCUACAGGAGGUACCAAAGAAAAUUUUACGUUAGAUUUUUCCCUUACUUAAUAAUGCUCUUUUGUUUUGUUUUGUUUUUUGUUUUUCCUCUCCUUCACUGAGCCGAGGGUCGAUUGGAAACAGCCUCUCUGCCCUUUCGGGUAGGGGUAAGGCUCGUCUACGUAUUACCCACCCCAGACCCCACUUUGUGGAAUAUUACUGGGUAGUUAUUGUUGUUGUAUUUUUCCCUACGUAGAAAGCUCUAUUUGGUUAAUAUUGUUACUUUCUAUAAUGUUUUCUGGUUUGGAAGUAAAUGUUACAAUUCACGAAAAGAUUACUUCCUAGCGAACACUUAGGAGUCGUUUGGUUGGAAUAUAAUUUAUAUCGAUAUAACUUAUGUCGUUAAAAGUUAUAUUAAGAUAAAUUAUGUUGGGAUUAGUUAU